UUUCCGUAGGUGAACCUGCGGAAGGAUCAUUACUGAAUUUAACGGCUGAGGUUGUAGCUGGCCAUAACCUGGUAUGUGCACACCUUGGUUAUCCAAAAUUCUUACACCUCUGUGCACCUUUCAUGGGAUAGUUGAGGCUGUCGGUUUUAUUACUGAUGGUUUCUUCCAUCUCGUGUCUUUACAUUUACACGCUUCAGUAUAGAAUGUUACCUGCGUUUAACGCAUUAUAAUACAACUUUCAGCAACGGAUCUCUUGGCUCUC
rnacentral:misc_RNA from 1 species